GAUGUGGAAGCUCUUUGGAAACCAAGAAACACUCUGCAAAUGAAAAGGGUGGAAGAGUAAACUGUUCCUGUUUCUCCAUCUUGACAGGAAGCAGAAGUUCUCCUUAGCUGAUUUUUCUUCUUGCCUUAUACUGGGUUCUUUAACACCAGAACAAAAAUAAAUAAAUAAAAGAAUCUUCCAGAAAUUCAUGAAGAGACUUCAGGUCAGGAAAGCCUGAACUUUCUCAUCCAACACCUGUUCAAGUCGGAGGAUGCUGAUUAAUUCAUGAUGGAAAGGUAUCAAUUUCACAGCCCAGACCUCUACAUUCUUGAAAUGCUCUUCUCAUGGGAGACAUUAAAUAAGCUUUGAAUUAACUGAAGAACCAAUGAUGUGAUCCCUGGAUACUGGCAAUUGUUGCCCAAGAAACCCUCUCCCCUUGCUAUGGGAGUGCUGGGCACCCAAAUAAUGCACCCAAAUAAUUUGAUAGCUCUUGUUACACAACUCUUCUUGGACUAAAAGGCCCUCAGCAUUCCUGUCAAUUUCUACACUCCUGAAGCUUCAUCUGGAGACCUCUGUGGAUUCUAUAACUCAAAGACCCAGGCUGACGGCUGGUGGAAUAGCUACCAUCUCAAACAUGGCGUGAUGCUGCAUCAGAGAGAAAAAUAAGCUCUUGCAUUGACAAUGAAAUGUCUACCCUGUAGUGACUUGUGCUUACUUCCACUCACAAGUGAUUGCCCAGAGCUACUUACCUGGCUCCAAUCUACCACUGGGUGUGUACUUGCAAUCUACCAUGUACCUAGAAGAUGAGAGAAACAAAUUAUUAAUGAUGACCACACCCCAAGACUAACAACAAGUUGCAGAAGAAUCAAUGACUUAAACAAAAAUGUGGCCAUUGAAGGAAUA
rnacentral:antisense_RNA from 1 species